rnacentral:lncRNA from 1 species
AAAUAGUAGAUCUCUAGAUAUUAUAGAAACCCUAAACAACCUCAAUAUGCUAACUUCCAAUACCUCUUUAAACUAAUGGUCAAAUAUCCUCUAUUUAUUUCAUCAGAUUAACACAAAAUUUUGCAUGCACUCGACAUACUCAACCCUCUAGAUACCCCUAAAUUUCAACUGCAAAAGUUUCUCCAAUUUCACAAAACAGUCAAGAGUACCAGCCGUUAC